UACGUAGGGGGCUAGCGUUGUCCGGAUUUAUUGGGCGUAAAGAGCGUGUAGGCGGCCUGGUAGGUCUGCUGUGAAAACUCGAGGCUCAACCUCGAGAUGUCGGCGGAAACCAUCUGGCUAGAGUCCGGAAGAGGAGAGUGGAAUUCCUGGUGUAGCGGUGAAAUGCGCAGAUAUCAGGAAGAACACCUAUGGCGAAGGCAGCUCUUUGGGACGGUACUGACGCUGAGACGCGAAAGCGUGGGGAGCGAACAGG
rnacentral:rRNA from 1 species